GAUGAACGCUGGCGGCGUGCCUAAUACAUGCAAGUCGAGCGAACAGACGAGGAGCUUGCUCCUCUGACGUUAGCGGCGGACGGGUGAGUAACACGUGGAUAACCUACCUAUAAGACUGGGAUAACUUCGGGAAACCGGAGCUAAUACCGGAUAAUAUAUUGAACCGCAUGGUUCAAUAGUGAAAGACGGUUUUGCUGUCACUUAUAGAUGGAUCCGCGCCGCAUUAGCUAGUUGGUAAGGUAACGGCUUACCAAGGCAACGAUGCGUAGCCGACCUGAGAGGGUGAUCGGCCACACUGGAACUGAGACACGGUCCAGACUACUACGGGAGGCAGCAGUGGGGAAUCUUCCGCAAUGGGCGAAAGCCUGACGGAGCAACGCCGCGUGAGUGAUGAAGGUCUUCGGAUCGUAAAACUCUGUUAUUAGGGAAGAACAAAUGUGUAAGUAACUAUGCACGUCUUGACGGUACCUACUCAGAAAGCCACGGCUAACUACGU
rnacentral:rRNA from 1 species